AGAAAUCUUCCAGCUGGGCUCCCCUUGCCAGUGUGUGCCACAAAUCCCCACAUCACAUGGAAAAUUAUCUCAGCUGAAGUGCCAACCCAGUGAAAGAACUUUUAACUGAGACCUGGUCAAGAGUUAUUUGAAAUGACUGCAGCAACUGUUG